ACUUUAAACUUAAAGGGUUAAACUAGAACUUUUGCCUUUUUCUUUUCAUUUUCUAAAAUUUCUUGGGCGAUCGGACGGUGUGAAAUUAAUCAAAGGCAAUCUGCGAAGAAAGCAUUUCGUCUGGGUCAGGUAUUUGACAUUGAUGGGGUUUGAAAAGAUCUUCUCUCAUUAACAAUCCCACAUUUUCUUUUCGAUUUUAAUUUUUGAGGGUUCUCCAUCGCAUCAAAAUGUCAGGAGAAACGGCUCUGUUUAAAUUCCUAAAGCCUAGGCGUCGUCCUCAAUCCACUGAUGUACAGGCCGCCGCCUUCUGGGGCAUCGCCGCCGCCUCCGCAGCUCUCUAUAUUAUACAGCCAUUUGAUUGGAUUAAGAAGACCUUCAUUGAUAAGGAGCCUGAAGGAAAGUGAACAACGAUCAAAUUUUUGAAUAGCUUUUUGAUAUCUUUCAUGAUGUUGGCAAUGAGAAACCUUGAGUGAAGCUGAUAUGAAUAAUGUUGUUUCAUUUUCUAGUUGUCGUUGAGGCCUUGUUGGCAUUAAUUCCUGGCUUAAGUGGACAAUUUUAAACUCAAGUGUUUGUUUUUUUUAAUCUUAAUUGUACUUCUGCUUUUGCUCUC